GGCCGAUAGCUCAAUUGGUUAGAGCUGCGGACUCAUAAUCCGCCUGUCGGGGGUUCGAAUCCCUUCUCCGCUACCA
rnacentral:tRNA from 1 species